rnacentral:rRNA from 1 species
UACGGAGGGUGCAAGCGUUAUCCGGAUUCACUGGGUUUAAAGGGUGCGUAGGUGGGAAUGUAAGUCAGUGGUGAAAUCUCCGUGCUUAACACGGAAACUGCCAUUGAUACUAUGUUUCUUGAAUUAUCUGGAGGUCAGCGGAAUAUGUCAUGUAGCGGUGAAAUGCUUAGAUAUGACAUAGAACACCAAUUGCGAAGGCAGCUCACUACACGAAUAUUGACACUGAGACACGAAAGCGUAAAAAUCAAACAAG